rnacentral:rRNA from 1 species
UAUGCAAGUCGUCCGAUGAAGCCCUUCGGGGUGGAUUAGUGGCGAACGGGUGAGUAACACGUGGGCAAUCUGCCCUUCACUCUGGGACAAGCCCUGGAAACGGGGUCUAAUACCGGAUACCACUCCUGCCUGCAUGGGCGGGGGUUGAAAGCUCCGGCGGUGAAGGAUGAGCCCGCGGCCUAUCAGCUUGUUGGUGGGGUAAUGGCCCACCAAGGCGACGACGGGUAGCCGGCCUGAGAGGGCGACCGGCCACACUGGGACUGAGACACGGCCCAGACUCCUACGGGAGGCAGCAGUGGGGAAUAUUGCACAAUGGGCGAAAGCCUGAUGCAGCGACGCCGCGUGAGGGAUGACGGCCUUCGGGUUGUAAACCUCUUUCAGCAGGGAAGAAGCGAAAGUGACGGUACCUGCAGAAGAAGCGCCGGCUAACUACGUGCCAGCAGCCGCGGUAAUACGUAGGGCGCAAGCGUUGUCCGGAAUUAUUGGGCGUAAAGAGCUCGUAGGCGGCUUGUCACGUCGGAUGUGAAAGCCCGAGGCUUAACCUCGGGUCUGCAUUCGAUACGGGCUAGCUAGAGUGUGGUAGGGGAGAUCGGAAUUCCUGGUGUAGCGGUGAAAUGCGCAGAUAUCAGGAGGAACACCGGUGGCGAAGGCGGAUCUCUGGGCCAUUACUGACGCUGAGGAGCGAAAGCGUGGGGAGCGAACAGGAUUAGAUACCCUGGUAGUCCACGCCGUAAACGUUGGG